AGUGAACGCUGGCGGUAGGCCUAACACAUGCAAGUCGAACGGCAGCACAGUAAGAGCUUGCUCUUACGGGUGGCGAGUGGCGGACGGGUGAGGAAUACAUCGGAAUCUACUUUUUCGUGGGGGAUAACGUAGGGAAACUUACGCUAAUACCGCAUACGACCUACGGGGGAAAGCAGGGGAUCUUCGGACCUUGCGCGAUUGAAUGAGCCGAUGUCGGAUUAGCUAGUUGGCGGGGUAAAGGCCCACCAAGGCGACGAUCCGUAGCUGGUCUGAGAGGAUGAUCCGCCACCCUGGAACUGAGACACGGUCCAGACUCCUACGGGAGGCCGCAGUGGGGAAUAUUGGACAAUGGGCGCAAGCCUGAUCCAGCCAUACCGCGUGGGUGAAGAAGGCCUUCGGGUUGUAAAGCCCUUUUGUUGGGAAAGAAAAGCAGCAGGUUAAUACCCCGCUGUUCUGACGGUACCCAAAGAAUAAGCACCGGCUAACUUCGUG
rnacentral:rRNA from 1 species